rnacentral:rRNA from 1 species
AUUGAACGCUGGCGGCAUGCUUUACACAUGCAAGUCGAACGGUAACAGGCCGCAAGGUGCUGACGAGUGGCGAACGGGUGAGUAAUGCAUCGGAACGUGCCCAGUCGUGGGGGAUAACUACUCGAAAGAGUAGCUAAUACCGCAUACGAUCUAUGGAUGAAAGCGGGGGACCGUAAGGCCUCGCGCGAUUGGAGCGGCCGAUGUCAGAUUAGGUAGUUGGUGGGGUAAAGGCUCACCAAGCCAACGAUCUGCAGCUGGUCUGAGAGGACGACCAGCCACACUGGGACUGAGACACGGCCCAGACUCCUACGGGAGGCAGCAGUGGGGAAUUUUGGACAAUGGGCGCAAGCCUGAUCCAGCAAUGCCGCGUGCAGGAAGAAGGCCUUCAGGUUGUAAACUGCUUUUGUACGGAACGAAACGGCUCUGGUUAAUACCCGGGGCUAAUGACGGUACCGUAAGAAUAAGCACCGGCUAACUACGUG